rnacentral:rRNA from 1 species
UACGAAUAAGCAUCGGCUAACUCCGUGCCAGCAGCCGCGGUAAUACGGAGGAUGCAAGCGUUAUCCGGAUUUAUUGGGUUUAAAGGGUGCGUAGGCGGUAUUACAAGUCAGGGGUGAAAUCUUGGUGCUUAACAUUAAAAUUGCCUUUGAAACUGUGGUACUUGAGUGUAAAAGAGGUAGGCGGAAUGUGUUGUGUAGCGGUGAAAUGCAUAGAUAUAACACAGAACCCCGAUUGCGAAGGCAGCUUACUAUCAUACAACUGACGCUGAUGCACGAAAGCGUGGGGAUCAAACAGGAUUAGAUACCCUGGUAGUCCACGCAGUAAACGAUGAUUACUAGCUGUUAGCGAUAUACUGUUAGUGGCUAAGCGAAAGCGAUAAGUAAUCCACCUGGGGAGUACGUUCGCAAGAAUGAAACUCAAAGGAAUUGACGGGGGCCCGCACAAGCGGAGGAACAUGUGGUUUAAUUCGAUGAUACGCGAGGAACCUUACCCGGGCUUGAAAUGCUAUCGACCGACGGAGAGAUUCGUUAUCCAGCAAUGGCGAUAGUGUAGGUGCUGCAUGGUUGUCGUCAGCUCGUGCCGUGAGGUGUCGGCUUAAGUGCCAUAACGAGCGCAACCCUUGCCAAUAGUUACCAGCAUUUAGAUGGGGACUCUAUUGGGACUGCCACCGUAAGGUGCGAGGAAGGUGGGGAUGACGUCAAAUCAGCACGGCCCUUACGUCCGGGGCGACACACGUGUUACAAUGGGGAGUACAGAGGGUUGCUACACCGCGAGGUGAUGCUAAUCCCUUAAAACUUUUCUCAGUUCGGAUCGGAGUCUGCAACUCGACUCCGUGAAGCUGGAUUCGCUAGUAAUC